rnacentral:rRNA from 1 species
AACGAACGCUGGCGGCAUGCCUAACACAUGCAAGUCGAACGAGACCUUCGGGUCUAGUGGCGCACGGGUGCGUAACGCGUGGGAACCUGCCCUUAGGUUCGGAAUAACUCCCCGAAAGGGGUGCUAAUACCGGAUAAUGUCUUCGGACCAAAGAUUUAUCGCCUUUGGAUGGGCCCGCGUUGGAUUAGCUAGUUGGUAGGGUAAAAGCCUACCAAGGCGACGAUCCAUAGCUGGUCUGAGAGGAUGAUCAGCCACACUGGGACUGAGACACGGCCCAGACUCCGAAGGGAGGGAGAAGGGGGGAAAAUUGGACAAGGGGCGAAAGCCUGAUACAGCAAUGCCGGGGGAGUGAUGAAGGCCUUAGGGUUGAAAAGCUCUUUUACCCGGGAUGAUAAUGACAGGACCGGGGGAAUAAGCUCCGGCUAACCCCGU